rnacentral:lncRNA from 1 species
CCUUUCCUGUUAAGUGGGCACACUGCUACCUCCUUCACAGGGCUGCUGAGAAGAAAGGAGACAGGCGCAUCCGCACACAGAAAGCACUCAGUAAAUGCUGUUUCCCCCCUUCCCCCUAUACAAAGAGACUGAAAGCAACCGCGGCUGCCCGGAGGUCCGAACUGGAGGGUGGCCGCAGCCGUGACUUCCUUGGGAACCGCGCUGCCUCGACUCGGCUACCUCUCUGCGAAGCACUCGCUAAGCCGGGCAGCCCCGGGGUCGCUUAGCGGCCCAGGAGGCGCCAGCGAUCCUGUUCCCCUGCAGAGCUAUGGGGACCGGAAGGCGAAACAGAGCUGUCGACGCGGGAGCAUACGCUGCCCACCAGUGGAGCGCAGGUCAUCAAAGCCGAAUCCGAAUUUGAAUUCUGUGCGGCUGAUUGCAGAGCUGUCUUGAGGCCCUGAGGACUGGGAUCUGCGACCCCCAGUGGACAAAAGUCGACUCUACCCCAGAGGCUAAUUUUCUCAAGGCAGGCACCUGUUGAGAGGCUGCAAGUAAAAUACAGGGGAACGCUAGUUUCCGAGCUCAUGUAAGAAUCUGAGAAAUAACGGGGGUAAACUUUGACAAAGGGGUGUGUGAUUGAGACCUGAGGUCAUGAGAUUAAUGGGUUCUUAUUACCUCUUGCGGGGGGAGGUAGUAAAGGGGAGGGGCAGGUGGCCUGUGGCGUCCUGAAGAUUUUUCAUGCAUUCUUUUUCCGAGAACUAAACAUUGUCAACUCUAAUAUAUCUAUAGCGCAACUUGCUUCAAGGACAGUAAUAAUUUUCAUUUAAUAAUUUUCCAUUUAAUCCCUUUACUACAUGGUCAUUUCUGUCUCUUAUAUUCCUAGGUUUCCCUUUAUAAGGAUUAGUCAGAUCAACAUUAUAUCUCUAACAAUGUUCCUUAGCUUUUUCACUCUCAUUAUACCUAGAGAAUUUAAUGGAAUAAACCAGAUUUUAUAUAUAUAUAUAUAUAUAUAUAUAUAUAUAUAUAUAAAUGUGUGUGUGUGUGCGUGUGUGUGUGUAUAAAAUUACUCAACAUUCAAGUAGUCUUGAAAAAAGAUGGGUAGGAGUCACCUUCUUUCCCUUCAUCAGUUACCAGUGUUCUCUUAACAUAAUGGAAGAGGCAGGAGGUAUUCCCACCUACAACUCAGGAUUCCUAUGUCCUAUGGGUUCAGUUGUGUCCCCCCCCCCAAAAAAAAACACCAAAUACAUCUAUUGGACUCCUGGAGGAAUGAAAGAAAAAAUCCCUGAAGCUG